GACGAACGCUGGCGGCGUGCUUAACACAUGCAAGUCGAACGGAAAGGCCCUGCUUUUGUGGGGUGCUCGAGUGGCGAACGGGUGAGUAACACGUGAGUAACCUGCCCUUGACUUUGGGAUAACUUCAGGAAACUGGGGCUAAUACCGGAUAGGAGCUCCUGCUGCAUGGUGGGGGUUGGAAAGUUUCGGCGGUUGGGGAUGGACUCGCGGCUUAUCAGCUUGUUGGUGGGGUAGUGGCUUACCAAGGCUUUGACGGGUAGCCGGCCUGAGAGGGUGACCGGGCACAUUGGGAACGGGGAAAGGGCAGAAUCCUACGGGAAGCAAGAGGGGGGAAUAUUGCAAAAAGGGGGGAAGCCUGAUGCAAGAACGCCGGGUGCGGGAAGAAGGGCUUCGGGGUGUAAACCGCUUUCGCCUGUGACGAAGCGUGAGUGAAGGUAAUGGGUAAAAAAGCACCGGCUAACUACGUG
rnacentral:rRNA from 1 species